ensembl:lncRNA
GAUAAUAUUCUGAAAAGUUUUACAAGUUGUUCUGGAGUUUAAUAAAUACAGAUUUCAAAACGGUUGUGUGGGCUGUUCAUUGAGAGAGCACCGAAGUGGAUCAGACCCUGCAGGGCAGAGCUGAGGCUGUUUCUGGAAAGUCUGUGGAGACCAUAAGCUUGAGGGUAGCAGCAAAGGACUGGAGUCUGCAGUUCACAGGGAGAAAGUACUGGAAGAAGAGGGACAGAGAAAACCUACACCUGAAAGUUACUGAAAUGUUGUAACUUAGUUUGGUGUGUCUCUACCUCACAGAAGGUCUGCAUUUUGUGAAUGUCUGCCUCAUAAUUUCCAUUAGAAAUGGAAAUGCAGCUGGGCGAUGAAUAUGCAGAAUGCGACUUAGAUACAAGACGUGCUUUGUCCUUUCUUUACCUUUCCUUCUGCUGGAACUGGGAGCAUCUCAAAACCUGAUUUUUGCUGCUGGGAUAUAGCAGUUUUGCAUUCAUUCAUUAUGAUUUGGAUUCCCCCUCAUCUGCUGGAAAUAAUUUUCCUGAGGUAGUUGUGUCUCCUUUUGAAAAGAAAUACUGGUCUAGUAUGAAGAACUCACAUUUAUUUGUAGAUAUCCCAGGAUAUCUACAGGAUGAAGUUUUUGGUUAACAUUUCGGAUCCUUCUCCUUCCUUUUUGGUGUGAGUUUUCUCUGUGUGGGCAGAAGGCAACCCUUGGGGAACAGCUGGCUUCCCAGCUCAGUGCCUUUCGCCCAGAAUUGUUUGGUUCCUUUUCAGACAACCCCUUCCGGAUCCUCUAAGGAUUCAGAUGAUAUUCAUGAGUUAGGAUCUUGCUGCUGCCAGACCUGUCUGGCUUACAGGCUAUUUUCUGUUUGUAGCCAGUGCUAUUUGACUGCCCUGUAUGAAAAGCCAGUAAAGUAGAGCAUCUGUAGGGAGCUGCUGAGCAGAUUUGGUGAUUGCUGAUGUCAUAUACAGAAGUUCCUACUCUAGCUUUUUGUAGAGAAGAGAUUGCUUUCAUGUGCUUCUGCUUACUCCAACCACCAGCCUGAAGUCAUGCUUCAACAAAUCAAGAUUAGAAGAUGCAGAUCAAAUAGCUGUGGCAAAUCAAAACAGGCCUUAAAAACUCACAGCAGUAGAACAUACUUAAUGCCAUAGAAUUCCUAUUUUUCUCACUCAUCUGAAGAAGUUAAAUCUCUCUGAAAUGCACUGUGUCUAAAAGAUACAUGAGCUGUAUUUCCAAAAGCUAUUUGAAAGUCCAAGAAAUCCCAGGAUCAUAAGAAAUGGUAAAAAACUUCUUGUCAGUGCAAAUCUCAUCAGUUGCAGCUUGUUUUUCCUUGUCAGCUUGGAUGCAAGGGUGAGCAGAAGGCAUGCAAGCCCUUGCUUUCCUGAACAAUAUCACCUGCAGCCUUCUCCUGUCCUAUGCCGCAUAGAGUUUGAAUGACAUGAAGUAAUUACAGCAAGCUUUAUCAGCAAAAUUCAAGCCCACUGGGCUUUUGAAGAUCAAAAGACUGUCAGGGAUAUGAUCAGUUCCAUUUAUCAUGUUAUCACAGUCUCCAUUUUCACCUUGUUCUUCUGAAUGAUUGCAAAUUCUAGUCUCAGCUGCAACUUUUAUGCAUCCCUUUCAGUCCUUAGACCUUCAAAUCUAACUAACUGCAUCCCUUUUAUCUGCUCAGUAAUGAAUCUCUGGUUGACAUGUUGUUACAAUAGAGUGAAGCUUGAAACUUCCCCUGUGGGCUUGCAAGGCUGAUCAUUUCUAUGGGGGUGCUGAAGAAUGUAGGUUGUGUCUGAAAAACGUGAAAGUGAAAUCUCUUCAGGAUCUGUGUUCCCACAAGCCUUCUUCAUAUUUUUCAUUCUCAGAACUGAAGCAAUAAACUUGUCAGUCCAUCGUGAAUAUUGAAAUCAGAAACAAACAGAAAUGAGACUCUCUGAUAAAGCACCCUGUUCCCCCCUCCCUGCACUCAACACAUUGAUACUGCUACACAGAAGCCUGGCAUUUCAGUCACAAUAGAUGAACUGUUGUUAUGAAGGAUGAUCUGAUUGGAAUAAAUGCGAAUGAAGACUUGCUCAGCCAUAUAUUAAAUGUGCUCUGUGGUCAUGUGUGAGACAAACACAAAUUCCAUUAAUCAAAUUUUUAGUAGAUUUUUCCCUUGCCUGCUAGUCUUUUCGUUCUUUUUAAUAGCCAAAAGGAUUUCAGAGAAGAUGAAAAAGGGCAAAACUACUCCCAUUUGGUGAUGCACUGUAACACCACUAAGUCAUCAGGGAAAUGGACCAGGUAUCUGAGUACUUGAAGAAACAGCACAGAGUAUUUUGACAGCAACAUGAAAUACUACAUGUUUCUUGGUGAAUUAACCAGAAUAAGGGAAAUGACAACUGAACUCUGCAUCUGCAGAAGACAAAAAUGGCUCUUUCCUUGCACUUAGACAACACAGCUUAGAUAAGCAUACAAACUGCCUGCUGUGCUGCUACUUCAUAACCUGCAUGGCUGGUACGUUGCUAUCCUAGAUGGGUUAACUCCAUGCUGAUAUAGAAAUGGUCAUGAACUAGCAAUUGCAUUUAUUUACUUUGAAAAUACGUGUCAGGUCCACUGACAUAAGUAAGCCAUGGGCACUAAUAAUGACUCCCUGCACAGAGUUAAAAUCCCAGAUGCAUUAGGUCAGGCAUGUCCAACCUGCAGCCUGCAGGCUGCACACAGCCUGGUCCAGCACAUUCUGCAGCUACCCUCUGCCCAGAGCCAUCACGGCAGCAACUCUAUCCCAGUGAGUGGCCUGACUUGACCCCCAGUGCACACCCAUCACUCACAACACCCAUACAUCUGUGUGAUAUUGGCACUGUCUGGGCUGAAGCCAGGGCACAGAGAGGGCGCAGUGAAGUGCUGACUCAAAUUAUAGCAAAUAAUUGUGUGCAGUUUGAUUCACUGACUAAACGCAGUCCUGUGAACAGCAAAAAAAUAUGCAGCUGUGUUUCUGUCUUGAUAAAGGAAUUUGAGAAUAGGUUUCAAGAUUGCAAAAAAAAUAAUAAUCAUUUUUUGGACUCCAUUUUCAGUCAACAUAAAUACAUUACCUGUGAAUUUUCAAAUUUAAUGUACUGAGCUGCAAUCAGAUAUUCAUCUCCCUCAUCUUUACUAGACUAUUAUAAGCCUUCUCUUACCAAGGAGAAAUAUCCCACGCUGCACAACCAUACCUUAUUCAUGUCACUGCUUUUGGCAGUACAUACAUUUGUGAACAACUGUUUUCAAGGAUGAGGCAUGGGAGUAAAAUUUCAUCAACAAUCUCUAAGAAACACCUGAGAGCUCACUGAGAAUGACAACCACUGCCACUGAACCAGCCUGGUGCAUUAGUUUCACAAAAACAAAGUCACAUAUCCCACUGAUUUUCUGAUUUUGUUGCGUUUUUAAUGUUUU